rnacentral:rRNA from 1 species
CCUACGGGCGGCUGCAGUGGGGAAUAUUGCACAAUGGGGGGAACCCUGAUGCAGCGACGCCGCGUGAGUGAAGAAGUAUUUCGGUAUGUAAAGCUCUAUCAGCAGGGAAGAAAAUGACGGUACCUGACUAAGAAGCCCCGGCUAAAUACGUGCCAGCAGCCGCGGGAAUACGUCGGGGGCAAGCGUUAUCCGGAUUUACUGGGUGUAAAGGGAGCGCAGACGGCUGUGCAAGUCUGGAGCGAAAGGCGGGGGCCCAACCCCCGGACUGCUCUGGAAACUGUAAAGCUGGAGUGCAGGAGAGGUAAGCGGAAUUCCUAGUGUAGCGGUGAAAUGCGUAGAUAUUAGGAGGAACACCAGUGGCGAAGGCGGCUUACUGGACUGCAACUGACGUUGAGGCUCGAAAGCGUGGGGAGCAAACAGGAUUAGAUACCCUGGUAGUC